rnacentral:lncRNA from 1 species
CCCACACAAGCAAGGACUGUGUAACCUUUUUUAUGACAAACAAAGGGUCCUUGUGGGCAAGAGUGAGGUGGCCCUAGGGGGUGUGGCCAGAUCUGCCUGGGCCCAUUGGUUCCGCUACCUCACAGAACCCAGUGUGAGGUCACAGUUGUUAGCUAUAUAAGGCCGAGGCUCAGGUGAAUUGUUUGUGGGUGACGUAGGAGUUGGAUGGCAAGUGUUGGUGGUGAUUUGGUGAUCGGGUUGGUGGUGUGGAGAGUGGAGCUUGUGUUUCCAUCGAGAUGUGGCCUCUGGGUCAUGAGUCUGAUAGAACAUCUUGGCUGGGCCUCUCCACCAGCUCCAGCACUGACAGCCUCCAGGAAAACUAUGAGGUGCUGCGCCUCCUUGACAAAGGCGGCUUUGGUGAGAUCCUCCUGGCCAAACACCGUGGCACAGGGAUGCUGGUCGCUGUGAAGGCGAUAGUGAAGACAAAGAUGCCAGCAGCCUGCAUUAUAUCAGAGAUGUCUGCUGGGGGUCCUGCUUUCAGAUGGUCUCGAUGUAUCCAGGCAGAAUGUCCAGCCACCUUCACCGCCAAGGGAGUUGACAGGACAACAGGAACCAGUCCCUUCUAACGAGGUUCCAGGGUCUUGGAAUCAAACCUGCGAAUAAAAACCAAAUCUCCCGGCCUAUAGGGAACCUGGAGUCGGGAGGCUUACCGGCCCAUCAGCCACCUCACUCCUGACAACAAACGGUUGCAACCGGCCAAAAAUUUACCUCCAGAGGUUUUCUGAGGUCUGUGCCUGAGAGUCUCCUGCUGGAUCCUGCCAGAGUCUCGGCUGAACCGGGGUUCCUUACCCAGGGAUCUCGCUGGGGCCUCCAAAAUCCCAGCUACAGAAUAACUCCAGUUUGGCCUCCGGUCACAACUGAGACUUCAGUGAUCCAGUGAUGCUGUGAUUCUCCAGGACAAGAAACAUCCUAGGAGAACAAACAUCUGCUCAGUUCCUCAUUGUUCUUGAACUGUUAACAUCUUGUUUACCCGAGAUGUACUGAACUCUCUGCAAGCCUUUUGUUACACCUUGUUCGUCCCAAUGUGAACUACUGAACUCUCUGCAAGUCAUUUGUUACAUUUGUUUCUCCCGAUGUACUGAAUUCUCUGCAAGUCAUUUGUUACGAGGUACUGAAUAAAAGGUGCGGUAAGCUGGGGGCUAUUGUCUUUGCUGCCCAGAGCAGCACGGAUCAGACCCAGAGCUCAGCUUCUUCUCAGUCUCAUUUUUCUACCUUUCCUGUAAUUCGCUGUGUGCUGCCUUGGCUCGCAGGAGACUAGG